ensembl:lncRNA
CGGCACGUGUGGUAGCAUCUCUGGCUGCUGUUGACCUUGUUUUUGGAGUAAAACACGGUGGAAGCUGAAUUAGUGAGGAUGACUCCUGCUCCUGUCAUCUCUAAGCUCCUCACACAUCUUUACCUGCACAUGAGGAAAAUCACUCCUGUAGAAUGCAGAUGUUCAGAGGGAGAUGAUGCCACAUCUGGUCCAGCUGAUGGAAGGUCUUGAAGUUCUCUGACUGGCCUCGACUGAAGAUGGUCGUCUCACUGGAUUUAAGGUUCAGAUGCUCAGUAACAAACUCCACCAAUGUGCCAACAGGGAAGCUUUAGGUUUACUAAAUGUUGCUAUGAAGGUUUCACUGUUUUUCUUUGUGAAUGCAAUGCGCUCCAACUGAAACUUGAAUUAGAAAUUAGAAGUAAAUCCUUCCAUCUGAAAGGAUUUAGUUGCAUUAAUAACCUCUUAACAUUCUAAUUUUUCUUCCAGUCUUGGUUGGAAAUAGAAUCUCUGUAUUGAUUCAGGUAAAAACUGAACUUCACAGCAUGUUGGAGCAAAACAACCAGAUGAAAACUGUGAUGGUGUUGGAUUGUCAGACCGUAAUGUUGCAGCUCAAAGCAGCUUUUCUAGCUCAGUUCAUUGUGACAUUCAGCUAUGAAUCAACACAGCAGAUGGUGAUCCAUGCUGUGGAAGUCUCACAUCUCCUGAUUUAAUGGAGCUGCUUUGCACUUUUUACACUGUUUAUUCACCAACACUUUAUUUAAUAAAAGUCCCAUCUAGUUUUUAUGAGGAAUGUGAUGUUUUAAUUUCUCUGUGAAUAACUGCAGUCUAAUGUAACAGCUGGAAUUGUAACAUCUGUCCUGAUAUUGAUCAUAAAGUAUUGAUCAGAAUACUUAUGGUCAGCAGUCAUCCCUGAAGUUUUAUAUUAAAAUCUUUACUUGUGUUAUGAACUUUGGUAAGAAGCAGAAACUUUAGCAUUGCUAUAGAUAUAUGAGUGUUAAGUUCUGUCCAUGUUUCCAUUUUGGGAAAUGCAGUCCAGCAGAUGAGUUUUUUACUGACAGCUACCAUUCAGUCUGAGAUAUUAAGAAUAAAUAAAUGUGCAUAAUGUGGAAAUGAACAGAUUAUAUUUUUAUUUAUUCCUACAGCUGCUGCUGGUAAAGUUCCAGAAUGUGGAGGAAUUUAGUCUCACAAUCAGACAAUAAAUAUUGUCUGAAAGUCGGGUUAUUGUUGUUUAUCAGCACAUGUUGGACAUAUUCCAGUUAAGACUCUAGAAUAUCAGGAUUUAUGUAAAUUUACCUCAAUAAUAUGAAUGUUCAGGUUAAGAUUGUGCAGUGAUAUUUAUUAUGUAAGUUUAGCUGAUUAAAGUUUAUGACUCUGCACUACAAAAUUAUUUAUUAUUUAAAUUUACAUCAUUAUUAUAAUAUUUAGGGUCAGACCCUACAGUAUUGAGAUUAAGAAAUCAAAUAUUCUAUAAAAUGUAAAUACACUGAACUCAUUUGGAUAUAUUUAAGUGAAACUCUACAAUAUUAUUUGACACAAAUCUAUCUAAAUCAAAAUUUUUAUCAUUUUUACUCCAAACAUUUACUGGACUGAUUUAAAUAUUAAAAUCACUCCUUUCUAAUCCUCUGCUGUACGUUCAAACCUGAGGCCUUAAAUAGAAACACACAAGUAUCUGUUUGAAGGAACUUCUGCAGAGUCCUGGUUCCAGAACAUGAUGAUAGAAUUAUAGACAAACUUUAACAAAAGCUGCCUGAGAGUUUACAGGUUUUUAUGUUGGAUUUCUUCAGUAAUUUAAUGAGCGUUAUCAGCAAAAAUCAAGUGUUCAUUUGAUGAACUUCAUUUCCUAAAACAUCCAGAACUGGAGCUCAUAUCUUUGGCAGCUGUAAAGUUUCUGCUCCUUCAAAGUUCACAACACAAUGAAUUAAUUCCUAAAACACUCUCAAUGCUGGAGAGCGUUUGUGAUGCUGAAGCAGUGACCAGUUUUUCUGUUUCUUCUCUGGAGAUGCACAAUGAGGGACGUCUGCAGAGACUGAGAAAGAGUCUCACCACAUCCUGACAUGAGGAAAAAGACUUUAUUGAAGACUACAAUGAGAAAAACUAUCAGACAGCAGAUGGCAUGCAUUCAAGUCUGUAGCUGCUGAAUUCAUGGAUGAAUCAUCUGGCACUAGAGAAGAAGACCAUCAAACAUCCACGUCAGUUGAUGGAGGUCCAAGAGUCUCACCAAACAAACAACCUACAGAGUGAAGACCUCAAAUCUGAUUGGACGGCCUCCUAUUCAGCCACAUGUGUGAACAAAUGCCUCUAAGCUGAUUUGUUUUCUAAAAUAAAUCUAGUUUGAGUCCU